CUUAACCCUAGAGGCCUUGCAGAUAUGGCUGCCGUGUCACAUGUGUGUCAGUAGGUGGCAGAGAGGAGGGAAGCUAUAUCUAUGAGUCUGGCGCCAGAGUACCCGGACAGAGAGCUAGCCUGAGAUU